GUCUACAGCCAUACCUCCCUGAACAUGCAUGAUCUAAUUGGAUCUCAGAAGCUAAGCUGUGUCAGACUGGGUUAGUACUUGGUUGGGAGACUGCAUGGGAAUAACAGAUGCUGUAAGCU
rnacentral:rRNA from 1 species